AUGGAGGGUCUCCAGGAUCAUGCAGCAGCUGUGCUCAAACCGCAUCCUCUGAGGUCAGAUUCUGCCGCUUGUUCUCAUGCCUCAGGACAGCAGAACUACGAUCACAUCUGGAAGGAAGUCUACGCCUUCACUGAGCGUCACCAGGAACUAAAUACUGAGGAUGAUAACAAAGCCGUGGCUUGCAGUGAGGAAGAUGCAGGAGACAGCAGCUCCAGAAAGCUCCCAGGAUCCUACAGAAGGAAGAAUGAAAGAGGGUUUGGAUACAUGAGCACCUGGCAGCUCCUGGGCCUGGAAGAAGGACCAGCAAUUGCCAUCAAGGAAGACGUGGUGACAAGAGGAACCUAUCUUUCCUUUCUUCUCCUACGUCACUUGAGGCUCCGAGAGCUAAAGAGAGCAUGCCUGGGAAUCCUGAACUACUUCAGAUCUGUAGAGAGAAGCCUUACUAUCAGUACUGCAGGCCUCAACCUCAAGGCUGGUCAACAGAUUCCCAGUGCAGAAGACACCUCCUGGAUCAGUGCUGCCAAAGGAGGCACUGGUGCUUCUGGUGGCUUGCACUCUCAGCCCUACGUUCACUACACACCAGCUGACUACAAGGUCCACAGCACUCAUUUCAUGGAGUUUGCAGAGGUGGAAAACCAUGAUGACUUUCACACUCACAAAGAUGGAUAUAUCCACACUCAGGACCAGCGUGGGGCUUACAUCAUAUAUGAUGUGGCACUGGAGGACCUAAAGGAGCUUGAGAACCAGCUGCUGCUUGUGGCCAGCCAGUACAUUGAGAAAGAUAAAAUUGGAAUGAGAUGAGGCAGAUUAGUUUGAAGAUUUCUAAAAGGAGCAGCCAUACUUAUAGAAUAGUGAGGAGGAAGGAGACAGAAAUUGUAGAAAACAUGGGAGGAGGCAUUAGAAAACAGUAUGUAAGUGGCACAUACAUGAGUGAUAUUCAGAGAAAUGCAGAAAAUAUUUCUUGAGUUACUGGAAUAGCUUUCCGUAUGGAUGGGAAAAUAUUUUGGGAGUUUUAGCAUGCUUCCCUAAAACUGAAUAUGUGGAC
ensembl:lncRNA